GUCUCACCGAAAAUGGCACUGAAAGAAUUCACGGGGUACAUAUUUACACAUCACCCGUAGUUCUUCUGUGCCGUAUUCGGUGGCCA
rnacentral:pre_miRNA from 1 species